rnacentral:lncRNA from 1 species
AGCAAGACGGGGUGAGGACACCCGCCGCGAGAAAGACCACACAUGCGGCCGCCGGGCGGGCCCGGCCGCGCCCCGUCGUACGCUCCGAGGGGUCUGAGCGGCACCGGCGGCAUUUAUUUCCGCCAUCGUCGAUCCCCCUCGCCUGCCAGCCACGUUGCCGGCGACUCCCCACGGCGGGCGUAGCCUGCCAGUUCCCGACUACGACGGAACAGUAAGAUCCCCGCUACCGCUUUUCAUUGCGCCGCCCACAGCUCCCCUCCCUCUCUACUUGGGAGGAGGGGGGGCGACCCAUGAAGAGGUAAUUACCCCAGAGAGAGGAGGAGAUUGGGGAAAGCUUCAUUGACCCAUGAUCAAUGCGAGCAGACCCGAAGAGGGGCACUCGGCCAUUCUCGCCGACGCCAGCCCCGCCCGCCAUUCGCAGAAGCAGCAAGCAGCUUCAGCCACGGAGGAGAUCAAAGCCAGGGUUAGACCCUCUGAGCUCUCAAGCCGCUGUAUCAAUCGCUGUCUUCAAUCAAUCAAAUAUGAAAUCCAAGCAAGGCGGAGACCCUGUACACCGUACGUAAUUUCCAGAAAACUUCAUCUGGAAUCGCUGCUCACAAGCUAUGUAAAUAACAGAGGGCAUCGACGCGAUCAGCCCGGCGGACUUCACUCCUCGGCGGUCCUCCGCUGCAGCAUCUCGUCCAUCCACCGAAUGAUAUCGGCGCCGAUCAUAUCUCGCUCGGGCUCGAAGAGCAGGUCAUGGAGAAAGCCCUCGUAGAGGCGGA